UACAAAGAACUCUGCACUCGAACAGGUCGAACGAGUUUCCUGGUCUAUCCACAUCAUGUGUUCAUUUCAUAAUCAAAUGCAGGUGGUUUCCAUGGACUUGCUGUAAGGGAAGUGACUGUGCUUAUCUCUUUAUUUUGAUGAACAAGCCUGCUCUACAUGUAAGCUUUAAUCUUCUGUGGAACACAAGAGUCAAGGUUUUAUCCAGAACUAAAGCAGUGAUCAUGACUGAGGAGGCGGCAGAAGAAGAUAGUGAUGACGAUGACUGGGAGGAUGAUUUUUUUUUGGAAGUUUGCUGCCAAGGGUGAACUACAGGAGCUGAACCAAUAGACCAUUAGAGUUGCUUGUUGAGCUACAGUAUGCUCCUUGGGCAAGCAUGGUAUGGCGUCACUUGUACGCACAGCUUCCUUGACGUGUGUCAAACUAGUACGCAGUAUUCCAGUGUGUUACUAGACCACGAAAGGACACGGUUUACUAUGUGUCAAUGUUGGCACAAAGUAUAAUGUAAAAAGAUGGGCUUGUAUAUUCUCCAUUGAUGAAGGAAUCGUCAGGGCUGGGACACAAGAAGAAGAAAAAGAAGAAGAAAAGAGAUCAACUCUGUAUGGGGAAAAGAUUUGAAUAAUAUUCAGAAAAUGAAAAAAGUAAAAAAAAAAAAAGUUAAUACCUUAUCCUUUCAAUGACAAAAUGAACAGCAUCAGAUCUCAUCAAAAUAAGCCAUGAAUACUCACGAAAAAAUACAUGAAAACUUAAAUAGAGUUCAAAUGUCUGGCUAACAAACUAAAGAACAGAGCAACCUGUACACAUAAGUGGGAAAUGUAAGUUCUAAUAAGAAGAAACCCUGUUUUGGGAAACACUGACCUCUAGUGGCAAGUCCAGAAUCCUUUCAGGAAUGGAUUUGAUACUGAUGCUAGUUUCUCAAACAGAAAAAAAGUGUGAGAAGUGAGUAAACUUCUUUGCAAAAUCAGUAACUUUUUCUUUAAUAUGACGAAUUCAGGGGGAAAAAAAAACAUCAGGAAAAUAGACAAGCCUAAUGCAUAUAAUGCAGCCUUUAUGUCAAAGGCUGCUGAUGCGUCAUGAUUACAUGUACGUUCAUUGUGUGAAUGGUUAGUGACUGGCCAAUAAUGAGCCGGCACUUUUACAUGUACAUCUUUGUUUCAGUGUAAGCAGGAUUUGUUUCACUGAGAUUUGUUUAGUGUGUUUCACACUUAUAUUUAGUACAAAUUACUUUAUUUCUUAUGCUAAUAAGAAAUUACUAAUAAUUUGUAUAUUUUAAUAUGGAGAUUGUUGGGCUCUAUAUGGCAGCCUGGGAAGACUUUUCAAAGGUCAAUUCACUCUAUACACAAACACACACACACACACACACACACACACACACACACACACACACACACACACACACA